UCUUCGAAGAAUAAAGAUGAGUCUACACCAUGCCAAGAAAAUUUCAAAAGAAAUUUUUAUCAGAUUGCUAUCGUCUUCAGCAGAAGAGAAGUUUAAUAGAAGUUUACUAUCUCUGACAUACUGUCGUUGGUAUUAUACCAGAAUUUUGACGUAUUAAAGCGAAGUUAAACGAUGAAAUUUGUGAACAAGAGAUUGACGACCGAUGAAUUGUGGCUGAACUGGCUCAAGAUAACUCGCCUUUGAAGAGAAAGCAAGUCUAGGCUUUUUCUGGGAAAUAUUGAUGAUAUGAGAAAGGUGGAGUUUAAGAGUUUAAAACCAAACUGAAUGAAGUGAAGUGGGCAAAAAGUCCGUUACUGUAGCUGAAAUUGCCCGAGACGACUCGCAUUUGACUCAAGAUAACUCGCCUUUGAAGAGAAAGCACGUCUACGCAUUUUCUUGGGACUUGUUGAUGACAUGAGAAAGGUGGAGUUUAAAAGCUAAAACCAAACCGAAUAUAGAAAUGAGCUGGGAAAGAAAACCCAUAGCUGAAAUUCCCCAAGAUGACUCGCAUUUCAAGAGACGGCAAGUCCAAAGCUGCUCUUCAACACUUGUUGCUGAAAUGAACAGGUAGCGAUUUAGCGGGUCAAGCCAUUUGAAACAACGACAAAACCUGUUCAUAAUAAAACGUUGAUGGGCUCUGUUGAGCUAUUACCGACAAGCCAAAUCGACGGCAAAAUCUACGCCUAAUGUAGGCAACCUCGACGGCAAAUCUACGCCUAAUGUAGGCCAACUCGACGGCAAAUCUAC
rnacentral:lncRNA from 1 species